rnacentral:tRNA from 1 species
AGUAAGGUGCCUGAAUAAAGGGUUAUUUUGAUAGAAUAAAUCAAGUGAUUUCACUCUUAUUA